rnacentral:rRNA from 1 species
GAUUCUGGCUCAGGAUGAACGCUGGCGGCGUGCCUAACACAUGCAAGGUCGAACGGGGUUAAGGGAAAUUUCGGAUGGAACUUAACUAGUGGCGGACGGGUGAGUAACGCGUGGAUAACCUGCCUCACACUGGGGGAUAGCAGCUGGAAACGGCUGGUAAUACCGCAUAAGACCCCGGCACCGCAUGGUGCCGAGGUAAAAGAUUUAUCGGUGUGAGAUGGAUCCGCGUCUGAUUAGCCAGUUGGCGGGGUAACGGCCCACCAAAGCGACGAUCAGUAGCCGGCCUGAGAGGGUGAACGGCCACAUUGGGACUGAGACACGGCCCAAACUCCUACGGGAGGCAGCAGUGGGGAAUAUUGCACAAUGGGCGCAAGCCUGAUGCAGCAACGCCCGCGUGAGUGAAGAAGUAUUUCGGUAUGUAAAGCUCUAUCAGCAGGGAAGAAAGGCCCGAAAGGGAGAUGACGGUACCUGACUAAGAAGCCCCGGCUAACUACGUGCCAGCCGCGGC